UGUAACAAUUAGUAACACUUAUAGAUAAAUAAAUAUUGAUUUUUAAUUUGCAUCAUUUGUACUUUGUCCCGUAUAAAAAAAAAUAAUCGUAAUUUGCAUCAUUUACCACAAUAUCAGUAACUAUUCACUAUAAUAUCUAGAGUAUAGGUAUAUUUUAAAAAAUGCUGUACCUAACUUAAAUAUGCAUGACGUAAUAACUAAAUAAGCAAGCUAAGUAAUAAUAUUAUAAUUAUAAAACAUAUCGUUAAUUAGUCGUAUUGUAUUUAUGAGUUAUUAGUCCAAUAUUAUGAUAUUUGUACUUUU